UUCAGGACCGGGUCCCGGCCCGGGUCGCUCCCACGGGGGUGGAGUGAGGAGGGUCCCUUCCUCACUCAGCCCCUCUUAUUCCAGCCCUUCCCGUCCUCUCCCCUCCGCGGCCCCAGGCCGGCUGUUCUGUGCACCUGCCAGUGCCUCUCCUUGGGCACCGUUCUCAGUACUCAUCUUCACUAUGGUGUCUUUCCCCGUGUGUCCUUUCUGUAACCCUCUGUGACCUCCUUCAGUGAGGGAGCCACUGUGCCCCUCCAUCGCUCCGCCUCAUCUUGAGUAUUUCCGCCAUGGUUUCCAUUACUGGGGCUCUGUGUAUUUAUUUGUCCACAUCUGUCUUUCCUGUCACAAUGUGGCAGGGGUUUUGUGGCCUUCGCCGUGCCCCGGCUCCUCCCCAGACCCGUGACUGGCGUAGGGCAGAUAUUCAGUAAAUUAAUGAACAAGGUGGGUAACGGUUGGUAAUCAGUCACAUCUGACUGUGAAGUUCAACACCCAGCUUGUUACUUCGCAGCUUCUUAGCUGUUGUUACACCUUGGAAUCAAAAAUGAGCCCAGCCCCUCAGGAUCAGCACAUCUCAAGAUCACCCCUUGUAAUGAGUACAAACAAAACAGAAGCCCACCUGGGAACAACCCACAACCGAACAGCCUCCUGUAAAAUGUUGGAUGAAAACAGCAAGCCCCUUUGAAAUGCACAGAGAAUCUCUAAAUGAAAAGACAAGCCACAAACAGAAAAUCUGUAACUGAGGAGACGCUGCUAUCCUGACAUAAUGAGAACGUGCAGAGACCAACCAGAUGGGCACACGAGUGCAGGAGAGACCGGAAGGGCCCGAGCAGCCCUCCCGGCUGGAGGCCAGACCAGUGGUGCCUCCCUGUGUCCUUAGGAAGGCCUCGGGGCCCCCUCCUGCCCUGCAGCCCGCAUGAGCCUCAGACUGCAGCCCAGGGUGCUUCCCACAUGGGCCCUGCUGUGUCCCCUCUCACCCAGGCCUCUGUGACCUUGUCCCACCCACUCCUUGCCCUCUGGCUCCCAGACUAGCCCCAGCCCUGCAGGCUGCUGUUCUUGUGACUCUCAGUGUGGCCUUGGUCACCUGGGCUACCCUGCCCCAGUCUGUGCAGUGCCCGUGUCCUUCUGCCUUGCAGAACUUGGUUCUGUGGUCACGUGUCAGCACCCUGUCCCUGUGCACACUCAGGGAUGUCAGCUCCAGCACAACACCGACCUCUUUCUUUCCUUGCUGUGUCCCCGGCACCGUCACAGGCCUGGCACUCAGCAGAACCUCAAGAGCACCGCUGGUGGACAUAAGACAACUACCAACCAGGGCGCCUGGGUGGCUCAGCCAGUUAAGCAUCCGACUUCGGCUCAGGUCAUGACCUCACCGUUGACGAGUUCAAGCCCCACAUCGGGCUCUGUGCUGACAGCUCAGAGCCUGGAGCCUGCUUGGGAUUCUGUGUCUCCCUCUUUCUCUGCUCCUUCCCUGCUCAUGCUCUCUCUCUGUCUCAAAAAUAAAUGUAAACAUUUAA